rfam:Erwinia mallotivora strain BT-MARDI contig_39, whole genome shotgun sequence.
UAUGAAAAAACAGCUGUUUUUCUUCGCAUUCUUUUUUACCUUCCCCUGACCGGGAGGCUAUUCGUCAUUUAAGUAAGAAUGCGAAGACGAACAACUAAGCCUCCCCAGCGGGAGGCUUUUUUUUU